rnacentral:rRNA from 1 species
AACGAACGCUGGCGGCAUGCCUAACACAUGCAAGUCGAACGAUCCCUUCGGGGAUAGUGGCGCACGGGUGCGUAACGUGUGGGAACCUGCCCUUAGGUUCGGAAUAACUCAGAGAAAUUUGAGCUAAUACCGGAUAAUGUCUUCGGACCAAAGAUUUAUCGCCUUUGGAUGGGCCCGCGUUGGAUUAGCUAGUUGGUGGGGUAAAGGCCUACCAAGGCGACGAUCCAUAGCUGGUCUGAGAGGAUGAUCAGCCACACUGGGACUGAGACACGGCCCAGACUCCUACGGGAGGCAGCAGUGGGGAAUAUUGGACAAUGGGCGAAAGCCUGAUCCAGCAAUGCCGCGUGAGUGAUGAAGGCCUUAGGGUUGUAAAGCUCUUUUACCCGGGAUGAUAAUGACAGUACCGGGAGAAUAAGCCCCGGCUAACUCCGUG